rnacentral:tRNA from 1 species
CGGGGCGUAGCGCAGAUGGUAGCGCGCAUGGUUCGGGACCAUGAGGUCGCCGGUUCAAGUCCGGCCGCUCCGACCA